GUGUGUCUCAGCUGGACUCUUCUUACUCAUUCUCUUCCUGGUAGACCUGGCUGAAAGCUGAGUUGUUUCUGUAAAUUUUUAUUUGACAAUCGGUAGAGAAAGCAGGCUGUGAAACCUGGUCUGCCACUUUAUAAAUUGUGCUGAUCUGAGCAAGGGAUUUAAUUUCCCGGAGCUUCAAUUUCCCAACCUAAAAUAAUGAUGCAGAAAUCGCCAUCAUGCGGAGUUAUUGAAGGAACUUGGUAAGAUACUCUUGAGAGAAUCCUGACAUCUAUCUGCUCGCUAAAGCUCCUGGUGACGCGAGUUACAACAAAAUAAAACAAAUAAACAAACAGCAAUGAUAACAAACCCAAGGAGAAGAAAAGGAAGAAAAAUAAGAUUUCUGCCCAGACAUUAAUCAGAUGCUUGGGCAUGUGGACGCUCUGAAGAUCCCAGCAUCACUAGGAUACCAGCAGUCCAAUUCAGUAGUGUCAUGAUACCAAACACGAAUCAGCAGUGGUGGCACAAUCCAGCAGAAACAUCCAGGACAACCAGAGCCAGCCGGAACACCAGGAGUUCUCUGCCAUGCCUCUCUCAAUGAAGUGAAGAUCAGUGAAGACUCUAGACAAAAAAGAGCUAUACAGCGAGCUAUGCAGGCACCCUGUCUCUUUCCUUUGAGUCUCACUAAUACUUUCUCCAAAAAGCUUAUGUUUUCCCAUGGGUCUUGCCUCAGCAAACUAUCAUGUUAGUCUGCCUCAGAAAAACACUGCAUGAAUCCGUAUCACAUGACACAACCAGAAAUUUCUACUUCAUGAUGUCUCCACGCUUUUCUUUAAAUUCACUUAUUUUACAUGAGUUUUUAUUCCACAAAAUCAGAGUCCCUGCUUGGGACAGUAUACUGAGCCGUUUUAAGGAAUGCUAGGCAAUAGAACUAAUAGAGUUAUGUCCUGCACCAGGGUUGUGUUAGUGAGUAGAGAGUCUAUAAAGGUGGGACACAAGGCUGACUGGCUUGAUGGAGUCCUAAGUGGGUAAAACCAAGACCAAUGGAUCUUUAUCAACUUUCCCUUUUAGGGUGUGUUAGAUGAGGGUGCAGCUGAGGUUGAGGACAGGUCAGAUGUCUCACUGAUCCUUCAUGAGCAGACCACUGUGUGGACAGCCUGUGUAAAAGUUUGUGUGGGGCAUUGGGAAAGGCAAAUGGGAAAGGCUUAUAUGUCUUUGUUAGAAGAAAGAAGAGAGUCCUCCCUGGCAGCACAGAACAGUUGUUAUCUUACCUUGCCUGGGUUUUGUGUAACUUCUGGGGCUUUCAGCAUAGGUCUUAAUGUUAUGGUAAAAACCAAAUGUUAGAGUUGAAAGAGUGAGGUCAGGAAGGCUGAGAGGAACAUAAAUAAGAGGGCUUACAUCUAGGUUUGAGACAGCUACACUGGCCAGAUAAGGAAAAGAGAGGGUUCUGGGGGGAAUCAAUAAAGCUGAUCUUCAUUUUUGCAGGUUAUAAUCAACACAGUAACAAUAUGUGUGUGUUUGUGUAUACAUAUUUGUGUAUAUAUAUAUAUAUAUAUAUAUGUAUUUAUGUAUGUAUAUAUAUAAAAGAAAGUCUAACCUGUGGCAAGAGGGAGCCCACCCCAAGGCUCUUUGAGCCAAAGCUGAAUAAAGUAACAGAAGAAAGCUGCAGAUAUAUCGUGGUAGCUGUGUCUCUUGACAUGUUCUUUUGUGACUGACUAGACUUGAAUCUGCAGUUGGAUUGUUUUCUGUGAAUAAAAACUAAUAGUGUACCAGAAUAUUCACCUAAUUAUGUACAACAAUGAAAGAUCUACAUCCUUGAAUGCUCUGAUCUACUAUACUACCACUUGCAUUGUGUUUUGACAACUUUCCUUUUUGGGUGGAGAUCAUGAGAAAAAGCACCCUAAAAACUAGGUCUCACCUGCCAUGAUUUGGAACAGAUAAAAUGGUCCACUUUACUCCAUUAAUAUGCUGCAGACUUCAUAAAUAUUCCUAGAAAUGUCUUCAGAAUCCGUUAACACAGAACCUACUAGCCUCCCUUGCCCCUCUUGAAUGAGGCCACAUCAAUCUCUUGGGGGCUAUGCUGCUUAGAUGUACUAACUAAACUGUACUGUUAAGAAUAAACUUCUGGUUAAACUGUC
rnacentral:lncRNA from 1 species